UACGGAAGGCAGCAGUGGGGAAUAUUGGACAAUGGGCGGAAGCCUGAUCCAGCCAUGCCGCGUGUGUGAAGAAGGCCUUUUGGUUGUAAAGCACUUUAAGCGAGGAGGAGGCUACUAGUACUAAUACUACUGGAUAGUGGACGUUACUCGCAGAAUAAGCACCGGCUAACUCUGUGCCAGCAGCCGCGGUAAUACAGAGGGUGCGAGCGUUAAUCGGAUUUACUGGGCGUAAAGCGUGCGUAGGCGGCUGAUUAAGUCGGAUGUGAAAUCCCUGAGCUUAACUUAGGAAUUGCAUUCGAUACUGGUCAGCUAGAGUAUGGGGAGAGGAUGGUAGAAUUCCAGGUGUAGCGGUGAAAUGCGUAGAGAUCUGGAGGAAUACCGAUGGGCGAAGGGCAGCCAUCUGGCCUAAUCUGACGCUGAGGUACGAAAGCAUGGGGAA
rnacentral:rRNA from 1 species